UACGAAGGGGGCUAGCGUUGCUCGGAAUCACUGGGCGUAAAGCGCACGUAGGCGGCUUCUUAAGUCAGGGGUGAAAUCCUGGAGCUCAACUCCAGAACUGCCUUUGAUACUGAGGAGCUUGAGUCCGGGAGAGGUGAGUGGAACUGCGAGUGUAGAGGUGAAAUUCGUAGAUAUUCGCAAGAACACCAGUGGCGAAGGCGGCGCUCUGGGCCGGAACUGACGCUGAGGAGCGAAAGCGUGGGUAGCAAACAGG
rnacentral:rRNA from 1 species